rnacentral:tRNA from 1 species
AAUGGUAGACGCUACGGACUUAAAAUCCGUUGGUUUUUUACAAUCGUGAGGGUUCAAAUCCCUCUACCCCCA